UGAACGGAACCCUGUUCGUUUUUGAUUUUGCUAAAUCAGAGGAGAAGAGGGAAGAACGGGAACGAGAGAUGGAAGACGAGCUCCACGGCGUCGUUCCGUGCUCCUCCCUCGCCGUUGAUUCCAUCCUCCGCGUCGGAACGGCCGGUGCCCUAUGGGGCUUGUGUAUAGGUCCCUACGACGCUCGUAAACUAGAACUGACUGGUGUUGCUCGUGCUUCUUUUGUGGCGAAGGCGGUCGGCAAAUUCGGCUUUCAAUGUGGACUUGUUGCUGGAAUUUAUAGUGUUUCUCGCUGUGGAAUUCAAAGAUACCGGGGCCGGAACGAUUGGGUGAAUGGUUUGGUUGCGGGGACAGUAGCAGGAGCAGCUGUUGCUGCUAGAACACGAAACUGGACGCAGGUAAUUGGGAUGGCUGGUCUGGUUUCUGCCUUCAGUGCUGCUGCAGACUAUUCCCGAACAUCUUGAAGUACCUCUAGUUUGAAGCCUGGGGCUGAGGAACUAGCAACCACUUUGUAGAAUAAGACGAUUUGAUUGGGAAAGACCCGCAUCAUGACUCAAGCAAACUCAUGUUUAGCUUGUUGAGGAUCCUUUCUACUCUGAGGGAGGCGCAUAAGAAAGCUGAUUUUCUAGUUCGAUUGGCUCGUUCAAAGAGAAAAGAUUGAUGGGAUAAUCACUUUAACUUCACCAAUCAAUAUUAAUGAUGCAAGCUUGCGCAGUUGUUUGGGAAGGUGUACAAGUACAAAGUCACGUCAAUGGUUGGCCAACCUUUCAACCCACAGAACCAUCUCUGUUGCACCAUGAACGUUUCCAUUCCAAAUCACAUUUUUAUUUUAUUAUUAUCUUACUUUGCUGAUUAGAUAGUAUUAAUUGUCUUUAAUUUUUUUAUUUAUUUUUUAAACUAGGGUUUCACAUCAGCAAUGUGAGUUAGUGGUAUGAUAAAAAAAUGAUUUUUAAUAUUACUCGAUUCACAUACUAAAGAAUUCACCUGCUCA